AGAGCACACACAGUCACAUGAAGUCCCUUUGCCCGCUGCUUGUUUACAUGCACUAAACAAAUCCAAGCACUAACCAGCUCGGCAGCCAGCACCUGACAACCGCUUUCCCUGGACGAGGCUAAAGGCAGAGCACAACGAGAUCGAGAGACAGCCAGCAGCUCUAUCACCAGUACAUAUUAUCAGCAAAGAGAAAUGCUGACAGAAGAACUGAGAAACAGUCCUAGAGUGAAUCAGCAAAUCAUGCGCAGCUACGAGCACUGCUCAUGGUAAUUGAGCACAGUGUGUUCACAGCUGGUAAGAUGAGGAGCUGCCAUCACCGUGGCCUGUCUGGUUUGGCAGGGAAGCAGGGGAUCCCCUUCCUCUGGGUUUUCAUCUAACACCUUUGGAUGUACUGCAUGCAUUAACAAUCAGAAGGCAAAGCAAUGCACAAAAGCAAAUGCCAGCUGAAGAAACAGAUGUGCUUUUUUUCAUGUGCCUUUCCCACUCUCAAAACCAGAUUUCUGUUUGUGCAGUAUCUGCCUAUAGAGCAGUCAACCUUUCCUCACCUCAUGAACCAUGAACGUUUGAACCCACUGGCAAGUAUCAAAUUCAGUGCGUGGCAGCAGUCUUGCAAAUAUUAAAUUCCUUCAAGGCUGUGAGAACACCAGCAGCUGGCAAGGAAAGAAAGGCAAGAGUGCACUCUGUGGGAGGGAAGCCCACAACUUGAACUCCUCCAUGGGCUCCCCUUGGCCAGUGACUCCCAGGCAGAAGCUGAGAUCACCCUUGGAGAAGGGGAGGGAGCAGAGGGGGAACUUGGAUGAAACAGAAAGAGCAUCUGAGUCUUUUAAAGCGGUGGAGGAAAGGUAAGGAAAGCGGGUUGUAAAACUGAAAUGCAUAAACCCACAGGAAAUCAAGCUUCAUUAGAUCUUGCUGUCUGCAGAGCAAAUUGUUUACGUGUUGCUAACAUUAAUGCCAUUGAAUACGGGCUAAAAAUAUUAUGACCUUGAUCCUGUUGUGAGCUUCACUGCUACAGACUGUGGAGUGAACAAAGCCCUGCUGCCUUUGCUAUGUUCCCUGCAGGAGCCAGGGAGGUUUGUGCCAUUUAGCUACUGACAACCUGCAGCGGGUUCUGCAUGGGCCUGUCAGUACGGAGGGAGGCUCAGCUGGUCAGAGCUUUUCAAUGGAUCUGCUGAGACCUCCUCUUGUAACGGAGUCCCCAGAAAAGACUGCAAAACUUAAGCAAACAGCUCACAUAUACACAUGGUGUAUUCUAACAAAAAGUAGGAAUGCUAGAAUAAGAACGCGAAGUGACUGGGACAGAAAGGAAAACUAAAACUAUGAUACGUGCACCCAUCUCCUCUGUACAUUUUCAUGGCAAUAGGUCAAAGCAGUUUUGAACUGAAAUGGUUGUCGUUUUGUUAUUUUUUAAUUCAGCACAGCUAUAUAAGAUUCACUCCUGGAUUAAAUUAAUGUCAUCUACCACAUAGCUUCAUAAACCAUAAAGCAUCAAAGCACGCACUUUUACUCAGGAUGUGCAACAUGUGAUUUGUGACGAAAAGCACUUAAGUGGCACAAGCAGGAAAAUUACCUUUGGUGCCGAGGCAUCAGACUCAGGGUAAGGCUCACCACUGACUUCAGAGGCCUCAUAUCCAGCUCUCUCUAGAGCUGAAUUUCCCUCAUUAUAAAUAGGACCAGUAAUGACUGAAUACAAACGGGAGUUAAGUGUUAGCCAAGCAGCCUGACCUCUUCCUGCAAUAAGCAGAUGGAUCUUUUGUUUUGUAUUUCACCUCAGGACCACUAGCAUAAGUGAUUGGUUAGUCUCCUUUAACAUCUGGGUUAAGAUAGAGCAGCAUCUAAGUGAUACAGACAGUUGAACUCAGUUUCAAGGUCAAAUAUUUCUUCCCCUUCCCAACAUGUGAAAACAACAAGCCAUUUUCUGAUGCCCUUCUCAAAUUCUUGAGAUGAUAGAGAGCAAAGGACCUCAGUAUUUCAGCGUUGGUGGGAUUGCCAAAGAUGUCAGUUACACUGAGACUCAAAGUGGUAUCUCUGAUCAGAAUAGACUGAGAAAUAAAUAGGACCUUCUUAGACGAAUGGAAGCACUCAUCUGUUCAGUAUGUGCCCAGGACAGGCAGGCUGUUUUGUCAGUCAUGCCACAAAAUGAUGAACAGGAGUUUGAACGUGCACUGACAACACUGUAGAAUAAAGUAAUGUUUCAAUUUCUCUACUCAGAUUUACGACUAGAAACAAAAAUCAUUAGUUACAUAUAAGAAGCACUUUAGAUAUUUUCUUUUUUGUGUCAUCACUGCAAUCUGAAAUAAAGAUUUCAGGUAAUGGCACAAACUGUUUCAGAAGCAUCGUACUCAGCUAUUUACCCGUUUCCUACAACAUCCUGGUAAUCACAAUGUAUUUAAAAUAGGACCUAACACACAGUAGUACUCUCAGUGGAAGGCUUCAGAACAUCUGUUUAUUUCAGAGUCUGAAGCUGAGGACAAAAAUAACACAAACAAGAUCUCAGGAGAUAUUAAUAGUUCCGUACUUACCCAGCUCAUUAAUAAAUUCAUUGGAUUCCUCCCCAGCAAUGUUUCUUUUCCAAACCUGGAAACUAAAUUGUUGACAGUGAAGAAAAACAACAUAUGUUUAGUCUUCAACAGAAUGUUAAUUUAGGUUUAAAGAACCUGAUUCUGCAGACUGUGUAUCGGCCUAAACUUCUACAAAAACCAGCAGCAGUUGGAGGCACACUUCAAGGACACAGACCAGGUGAUACACCAUUGCAUUUGGCAGAGGCUGAGAACACAAAGCUUGUGCCAACAUGACACUGCUCCUGUGAAACCCAGCCUGCUUUCAGGAAGCAACUUGUCUUUACAACAUUAAGGUGCCACUGGGAAGGUUAGUCCCUUCCACCGAAUUACUUACUUUAGAACCGUCACCAAAACACCUUUCUCAUAGUUUCUCUGGUGGAAACGGCCAAGGGAUAAGCAGCUGGACCUCAGCUCUGUGUACUCACGGUCAGCUUGGAAGUAUCAGCAGGAUCUAAAGGAUCUUCCUCAAGGAGUACUCAAGCAGAAACAAAAGAAUAUCAGACUGUUUCCCACUCUUGAUUAUUCUCUUUUACUACCUCACUGGAUGGGACAAGUUUUCACCCCGGGCCAAGGUGCCCUGGUGAUGUUAAGGCGUUCUGGGGGAGAAGUGGAAAACGGGAGCAAGCUUGAUCAACGCUACCAGCAUGAGUGGUGCCAGAACAGUUACAGGGCAAAAGCUGUACAUUCUGAUUUAGUGACUCUGCUGUGUGUAACAGAGCAAUUGACUCCAGCGUUUCCUCCUACAGUGAGGAAGGGAAAAGUGCUUCCUCCUCACAUCUCUGAGCCGUGAGCUCCCAGAGGCAAGGCUGGCUGUCACUCCGGGCUUGGCUCCACAGGCACAAAUGCUGCCUUACUGCACCUGGCCUCUCCCCACUGCUGCACAUCAGGCCAGGUUCCUCUGCUGCGCUCAAUAGAGCAUUUCAGACUCAACGCUUCCACUCUCAGAGGCAUCUGAAAUCACAAUCCACACCGAAAAUUUUCAGCCAACCUCUUACAAUACUUCCAUUCUCUUUGUCUCUCGCAGACUGUGAUCUAUUUAUAACAUCCCAACUAUUUCUAAACCCAAAGCAGACAGAACAUUGAUGUGUCAUUGCAAAGAUAUGCCUCCAAAAUGGUUUGGUGGGGGAAGAAAAUACAAGGGGGGGUGACAAAAGCUGAAAAACACUAUCUAUGUAACAGUAUUAACGUCUCACCUUUUUUUUCCCCCUCAUACAGCAUCUUACAACUUCCUAAAUCAGCACAUGAGGUGUGAAUUUUAAGUAGCUAUGCCUGUUACAAUCACUGACUAAACCCUUUCUCCCUUUUCUUCCCCCCUUCUAUUAAGAGUUGAGAACAGGUUUGCUGCCUGCACAGUGGGACAAUUGCAGCCACUUUGGGAAUAUACAAACUACCUCCCUACAGAUUUGUUAUGUUGCUGCAGUGUGCUGUUAACUGUUCAGUACCAGAAGGCCCAAAAAUGGUGACAAGGAACUUAGGAAGAAUUAAAAAAAAAUGCAGAAGUAAGAACUUCAAAGUAAGAUGAAAUUCUAUUUUAGCAUAGUGUAUAGAUAUUUCUUUUCCUACAUAGAGAGAUCAAGACAUGGAACCCAUGUGGAUUCUAGGAGAAAAAGGACCAAUAGUAUAGACUCCUCAUUUCCAAAAGCAUAUAAAGAAUUAGAGAAGGAUGCUCAAAUGUCUGGAAUGACUCCUCUGCCCGGAAGAGCAGUUGCCAGACAGAACAGCACAGCAUAGCAGGGAAAUGGCAGGUUUAUAAAGUCACGAGUUGGAGAAAGCAGUUUAUCUUUCUUCCCAUUCAUGGAUUAGGAAACAUUAAAUAAAGCUAGUAGGAGGCAUGUCUUCAGAAAAAAAAACAGCAGGCACAUUCUUCCUACAGGCAUUAGAGCUGUGGGACUGCUUACUGCUGCUAGGAGUUCCUAAAUGGUCUGGGACAGGCUGGACAAGAGCACGGAAGGGAAAUCAUCAGGAGGCUGCUAAACAGCAUAUCAACUUCACUGAUGCCAAGUUGAAAGCAGAAGACACAUUACUCUGCUCUUACCCAGCUCCUGACAGCUGCAUUUCAGGAGACAGUGACCCACAUCUGACUCAGCAUGCUUGGUUUUUGUCUUUCUGUUUCCAACAGCUAUUAUCUGGUGAACAAUUAAAAGAGAUUAGAAUGACAGUGA